rnacentral:misc_RNA from 1 species
GAUGAAGAACGUAGCGAAAUGCGAUAAGUAAUGCGAAUUGCAGAAUUUCCGUGAGUCAUCGAAUCUUUGAACGCACAUUGCGCCCAUUGGUAUUCCGAUGGGCAUGCCUGUUCGAGCGUCAUUAUCCUCCCUCAAACCCUGGGUUUGGUGUUGGACUCUGGGGGGUGUGCGCGCCCCCCUGGUCUCAAAGACAAUGACGGCGUCCGUGGGACCCUCGGUGCAACGAGCUUUUCGGAGCACGCGUCGAGUCUCGUCCCCACGGGCCCGGUCGACCCUCUCUUCUUCUAGGUUGACCUCGGAUCAGGUAGGAAUACCCGCUGAACUUAAGCAUAUCAAUAAGCGGAGGAA